ACUCAAAGGAAUUGACGGGGGCCCGCACAAGCGGUGGAGCAUGUUGUUUAAUACGUCACUAACCGUAGCACCUUACCAGGGUUUGACAUCUGGCGCACCGGGGUGAAAGCCUCGUUCCGAGCAAUCGGACGCCAAGACAGGUGUUGCAUGGCUGUCGUCAGCUCGUGUCGUGAGAUGUUGGGUUAAGUCCCGCAACGAGCGCAACCCUCAUCCCAUGUUGCCAGCGCGUGAAGGCGGGAACUCUUGGGAAACUGCCGGGGUAACUCGGAGGAAGGUGAGGAUGACGUCAAGUCAGCAUGGCCCUUACACCCUGGGCGACAAACAUGCUACAAUGGACGGUAGACAGAGGGAUGCGAGGGGGCGACCCGGAGCCAAUCUCCUAAAUCCGUUCUCAGUUCGGAUCGCAGGCUGCAACUCGCCUGCGUGAAGUCGGAAUCGCUAGUAAACGCAGGUCAGCCAAACUGCGUUGAAUUCGUUCCCGGGCCUUGUACACACCGCCCGU
rnacentral:rRNA from 1 species